UCGAGAAUUUUUCUCAAUGGGGGAAACCCUGAAGGAGCGACGCCGCGUGGAGGAUGAAGGCUUUCGGGUUGUAAACUCCUGUCAUUUGGGAACAAGUUGCACACGUUAACUGCGUGGGCAUUGAUAGUACCAGAAGAGGAAGGGACGGCUAACUCUGUGCCAGCAGCCGCGGUAAUACAGAGGUCCCAAGCGUUGUUCGGAUUCAUUGGGCGUAAAGGGUGCGUAGGUGGCGCCGUAAGUCGGGUGUGAAAUUUCGGAGCUUAACUCCGAAACUGCAUUCGAUACUGCGGUGCUUGAGGACUGGAGAGGAGACUGGAAUUCAUGGUGUAGCAGUGAAAUGCGUAGAGAUCAUGAGGAAGACCAGUGGCGAAGGCGGGUCUCUGGACAGUUCCUGACACUGAGGCACGAAGGCCAGGGGAGCAAACGGGAUUAGAUACCCCCGUAGUCC
rnacentral:rRNA from 1 species